rnacentral:rRNA from 1 species
GGCGGUGUGUUUAUGUCAGGGGCCACACCUGUUCCCAUUCCGAACACAGUAGUUAAGCCCUGACAGCCGAUGGUACUGCGAUUGCGGGAGAGUAGGUCAACGCCGUCU